rnacentral:rRNA from 1 species
UACGAAGGGGGCUAGCGUUGCUCGGAAUUACUGGGCGUAAAGGGCGCGUAGGCGGACAGUUUAGUCAGAGGUGAAAGCCCAGGGCUCAACCUUGGAACUGCCUUUGAUACUGGCUGUCUUGAGUUCGGGAGAGGUGAGUGGAAUGCCGAGUGUAGAGGUGAAAUUCGUAGAUAUUCGGCGGAACACCAGUGGCGAAGGCGGCCGGCUGGGGGUGACCUGACGCUGAGGCGCGAAAGCGUGGGGAGCAAACAGG